GACGAACGCUGGCGGCGUGCUUAACACAUGCAAGUCGAACGCUGAAGCUUGGUGCUUGCACUGGGUGGAUGAGUGGCGAACGGGUGAGUAAUACGUGAGUAACCUGCCCUUGACUCUGGGAUAAGCCUGGGAAACUGGGUCUAAUACUGGAUACGACAUGUCACCGCAUGGUGGUGUGUGGAAAGGGUUUUACUGGUUUUGGAUGGGCUCACGGCCUAUCAGCUUGUUGGUGGGGUAAUGGCUCACCAAGGCGACGACGGGUAGCCGGCCUGAGAGGGUGACCGGCCACACUGGGACUGAGACACGGCCCAGACUCCUACGGGAGGCAGCAGUGGGGAAUAUUGCACAAUGGGCGGAAGCCUGAUGCAGCGACGCCGCGUGAGGGAUGACGGCCUUCGGGUUGUAAACCUCUUUCAGCACGGAAGAAGCGAAAGUGACGGUACGUGCAGAGGAAGCGCCGGCUAACUACGUG
rnacentral:rRNA from 1 species